GUCGAGCGGAAACGAGUUAUCUGAACCUUCGGGGGACGAUAACGGCGUCGAGCGGCGGACGGGUGAGUAAUGCCUAGGAAAUUGCCCUGAUGUGGGGGAUAACCAUUGGAAACGAUGGCUAAUACCGCAUGAUGCCUACGGGCCAAAGAGGGGGACCUUCGGGCCUCUCGCGUCAGGAUAUGCCUAGGUGGGAUUAGCUAGUUGGUGAGGUAAGGGCUCACCAAGGCGACGAUCCCUAGCUGGUCUGAGAGGAUGAUCAGCCACACUGGAACUGAGACACGGUCCAGACUCCUACGGGAGGCAGCAGUGGGGAAUAUUGCACAAUGGGCGCAAGCCUGAUGCAGCCAUGCCGCGUGUGUGAAGAAGGCCUUCGGGUUGUAAAGCACUUUCAGUCGUGAGGAAGGUAGUGUAGUUAAUAGCUGCAUUAUUUGACGUUAGCGACAGAAGAAGCACCGGCUAACUCCGUGCCAGCAGCCGCGGUAAUACGGAGGGUGCGAGCGUUAAUCGGAAUUACUGGGCGUAAAGCGCAUGCAGGUGGUUUGUUAAGUCAGAUGUGAAAGCCCGGGGCUCAACCUCGGAAUUGCAUUUGAAACUGGCAGACUAGAGUACUGUAGAGGGGGGUAGAAUUUCAGGUGUAGCGGUGAAAUGCGUAGAGAUCUGAAGGAAUACCGGUGGCGAAGGCGGCCCCCUGGACAGAUACUGACACUCAGAUGCGAAAGCGUGGGGAGCAAACAGGAUUAGAUACCCUGGUAGUCCACGCCGUAAACGAUGUCUACUUGGAGGUUGUGGCCUUGAGCCGUGGCUUUCGGAGCUAACGCGUUAAGUAGACCGCCUGGGGAGUACGGUCGCAAGAUUAAAACUCAAAUGAAUUGACGGGGGCCCGCACAAGCGGUGGAGCAUGUGGUUUAAUUCGAUGCAACGCGAAGAACCUUACCUACUCUUGACAUCCAGAGAACUUUCCAGAGAUGGAUUGGUGCCUUCGGGAACUCUGAGA
rnacentral:rRNA from 1 species